CCAGGGACGCCCGCGUAGCUGCUGCGAGAUGCUGUGUCCGUUUGACACUUGACGGAACCACAGACCUCCCCCAAGGCCCAAACACUCGACAUGAAGACACGUCGAUUUCCUGUUGCGGUUACAUUCCUACGUACUCACAACUCGAUGAUGAAAAAUGAAAGCGGCUCCUUAAAACGUGUUCUUUGGGAUGUUGGAUGUUGAAUCUAAUUGUGAGCGCAGAUCUGGAUUAAACUUGUUUUGUCAGGAAGACGACCCAGCAUGUUGCAAACGUGGGAUGCAAAGAAAGGACGACAGCUUCCUGUAUUUGUCCUACAGACUGCGCAUAUUUCACAGAGGACUCACCUGCUUUGCCGGGCUCCACCUUCACCUUCACGUCAAGCUCCGCCCCCCACACUCGGUCCCCGGACGCCCCCUCCUCCCUCCUCAGCUCGAUGAAGCCCGGUCCGAGCGCGGCGACGGCGGUUCUGACAGAG